rnacentral:rRNA from 11 species
ACCUUUGGCUUAAAUACUCUAAAGAUCCCAGAUUCUGUCUGAUCUUUGGAAGCUAAGCAGGGUCAGCCCAAGUUAGUAGUUGGAUAGGAAUCUACCAACAAAGGCCAAGAGCUGUAGGCU